rnacentral:rRNA from 1 species
GACGAACGCUGGCGGCGUGCUUAACACAUGCAAGUCGAACGGGGUCUUGUAAGGAGUAAUCCGAACAUGACCUAGUGGCGGACGGGUGCGUAACGCGUGAACAAUCUGUCUCUGUGAGGGGAACAACACUUAGAAAUAGGUGCUAAUACCGCAUGGGACCACGGAGUCGCAUGGCUCAGUGGUGAAAGGGUCACUUUCGGGUGAUUCCGCGCAGGGGUGAGUUCGCGUCUGAUUAGCUAGUUGGUGAGGUAACGGCCCACCAAGGCGACGAUCAGUAGCCGAUCUGAGAGGAUGACCGGCCACACUGGAACUGAGAAACGGUCCAGACUCCUACGGGAGGCAGCAGUGGGGAAUAUUGGGCAAUGGGCGCAAGCCUGACCCAGCAACGCCGCGUGAGGGAAGAAGGUUUUCGGAUCGUAAACCUCUGUCGCAGGGGAUGAAACAAAUGACAGUACCCUGUGAGGAAGCUCCGGCUAACUACGUGCCAGCCGCCGCCGUAAGAC